UACAGAGGUCCCGAGCGUUGUUCGGAUUCACUGGGCGUAAAGGGUGCGUAGGUGGCGUGGUAAGUUUGAUGUGAAAGCUCAGGGCUUAACCCUGAAAUGGCAUUGAAUACUACUAUGCUGGAGGUUUGGAGGGGGGACUGGAAUUCUUGGUGUAGCAGUGAAAUGCGUAGAUAUCAAGAGGAACACCAGUGGCGAAGGCGAGUCCCUGGACAACACCUGACACUGAGGCACGAAAGCGUGGGGAGCGAACAGG
rnacentral:rRNA from 1 species